AGUUUAAAAUUUUUUAGUUACCUAGAAAUUAUUUUAAAAAACUGCCGUUCAAACCGAAAAGAUCCUAGAGACUUAACCACACACCCAUGCCUGCUGGGAUCUUUGAUCAUUAUUUUAAUGAUAAUUCUAGGUCAUUAUCUCUAGUCAACUGUGCUGUCCUUGUCUUUAGCCAUUAUUCCAACUGCGGUGUUUUCUCUCUGAGAGUCAGUUCAUGUAUGAUGCCAUAAUCUUCGACUAUUUGAUCUCACUAUCUUUUCAGAAUCCAUGCUAAUUCUUCAAAAAUACCAAAUCCAUUGUUAAUGAUUCUGAAAGAGAAAAAGUAACAUCCUUCCAGAUUAUCUGUUUUCUCUUUGAUUUUGUUAAUCUCCUAAGGUUAGAUUUCUGUAGCUCUAUAAGUAUGGAUUUUGUUAACUGGAUUUCUUUUAUCCAUUUUUCAUGCUUGCUUGAGUGGGACUUUUUACAGAUGUGGAUUUUUCUUUUGUUUGAAUUGGAGGAAAAGACAAAAAUUCAAUAGAAUGCAUUUACUGAUAGAAUUUCGUCAUGUUGUACCAGAAGGUCUGAAAACAAAAUAGAACGGAGGGUAACAUUUUAAUAUUUCUUUCCAAACAUUGAAAGUAUAUAUAUAUUGUUCCAAACAUCCAAUCAUGUUAACUGGAUUCAUUUGUUAUGUGUGUUUAUACAGGCAUGUGUAUGCAUAUAUGUGUGUGUGUGUGUGUGUGUGUGCUCACACUAGUAAAAUGCUCUAAAUGGGUGUUUAAAAUUAAAGAAACCUGUUAUUUUGACUUAUAACUAUCUUUUGUAAAUAGACUGUUAAUAUGUGGCACAAUCACGCAUAAAUUUGUGGGAUUUUAACAACCAAAUAGCUGUCUUCUUUUUAUUGAGUUGAGCAACAGUACAGCUGUAUUUCGCAGAACAUUCUAGAAAUGUUUCUUUUUAUCAUUUUAAAAUAAAAUAAAUUACCUAAACAACA